rnacentral:rRNA from 1 species
UACGGGGGGGGCAAGCGUUGUUCGGAAUUACUGGGCGUAAAGGGCUCGUAGGCGGUCCACUAAGUCCGACGUGAAAUCCCCAGGCUUAACUUGGGAACUGCGUCGGAUACUGGUGGGCUUGAAUCCGGGAGAGGGAUGCGGAAUUCCGGGUGUAGCGGUGAAAUGCGUAGAUAUCUGGAGGAACCCCGGUGGCGAAGGCGGCAUCCUGGACCGGCAUUGGCGCUGAGUGAGCGAAAGCCAGGGGAGCAAACGGG